rnacentral:rRNA from 1 species
AACGAACACUGGCGGCGUGCUUAACACAUGCAAGUCGAACGUGAAAGGCUUCGGCCGAGUAAAGUGGCGCACGGGUGAGUAACGCGUGGGUAAUCUGCCCUUGGGCGGGGGAUAACCUCUCGAAAGGGGGCGUAAUACCGCAUGAGACCACGGCUUUUCGGGGUCGUGUGGGAAGAGGUGGGUCGCAAGGCCUGCCACCUGAGGAUGAGCCCGCGUACCAUUAGGUUGUUGGUGGGGUAAUGGCCUACCAAGCCGAAGAUGGUUAGCUGGUCUGAGAGGACGAUCAGCCACACUGGGACUGAGACACGGCCCAGACUCCUACGGGAGGCAGCAGUGGGGGAAUAUUGCGCAAUGGGGGGAAACCCUGACGCAGCAACGCCGCGUGUGUGAAGAAGGCCUUCGGUCGGUAAAGACUCUUUCGUACGGGGACGGAGUGAUGACGGUACCCGGUA